GAUGAACGCUGGCGGCGUGCCUAAUACAUGCAAGUCGAGCGAACGGACGAGAAUCUUGCUUCUCUGAUGUUAGCGGCGGACGGGUGAGUAACACGUGGAUAACCUACCUAUAAGACUGGGAUAACUUCGGGAAACCGGAGCUAAUACCGGAUAAUAUUUUGAACCGCAUGGUUCAAAAGUGAAAGACGGUCUUGCUGUCACUUAUAGAUGGAUCCGCGCUGCAUUAGCUAGUUGGUAAGGUAACGGCUUACCAAGGCAACGAUGCAUAGCCGACCUGAGAGGGUGAUCAGCCACACUGGAACUGAGACACGGUCCAGACUCCUACGGGAGGCAGCAGUAGGGAAUCUUCCGCAAUGGGCGAAAGCCUGACGGAGCAACACCGCGUGAGUGAUGAAGGUCUUCGGAUCGUAAAACUCUGCUAUUGGGGAAGAACAUAUGUGUAAGUAACUGUGCACAUCUUGACGGUACCUAAUCAGAAAGCCACGGCUAACUACGUG
rnacentral:rRNA from 1 species